rnacentral:rRNA from 1 species
UAACAAGGAUUCCCCUAGUAACUGCGAGUGAAGCGGGAAAAGCUCAAAUUUAAAAUCUGGCGGUUUUGUCGCCCGAGUUGUAAUCUGGAGAAGCGUUUUCCGUGCCAGACCGUGUACAAGUUUCUUGGAACAGAGCGUCAUAGAGGGUGAGAAUCCCGUCCAUGACACGGACUCCCGGUGCUUUGUGAUACGCUCUCGAAGAGUCGAGUUGUUUGGGAAUGCAGCUCAAAAUGGGUGGUAAGCUCCAUCUAAAGCUAAAUAUUGGCGAGAGACCGAUAGCGAACAAGUACCGUGAGGGAAAGAUGAAAAGCACUUUGGAAAGAGAGUUAAACAGUACGUGAAAUUGUUGAAAGGGAAACGCUUGAAGUCAGUCGCGUCUUAUUUGACUCAGCCUUGCUUCGGCUUGGUGUAUUUCAAGUAGGAUGGGUCAACAUCGAUUUUGGCCGGUGGACAAGGGGUUAAGGAAUGUGGCACUCUUUGGAGUGUGUUAUAGCCUUUUCUCAUAUACAUCGGUUGGGAUUGAGGCCCGCAGCGCGCCCUUGUGGCCGGAGGUUCGCCUCACGUAACGCGCUUAGGAUGUUGGCAUAAUGGCUUUAAGCGACCCGUCUUGAAACACGGACCAAGGAGUCUAACAUGCUCGCGAGUGUUAGGGUGGAAAACCCUUGCGCGUAAUGAAAGUGAAAGUUGAGAACCUCCGCAAGGGGGUGCAUCGACGCCCGGCCCUGAAGUUUACUGACGGUGCUGCGGUAGAGCGCGUAUGUUGGGACCCGAAAGAUGGUGAACUAUGCCUGAAUAGGGCGAAGCCAGAGGAAACUCUG